rnacentral:rRNA from 1 species
GAUGAACGCUAGCGGCAGGCUUAAUACAUGCAAGUCGAGGGGCAGCACGGUUAGCAAUAACUGGUGGCGACCGGCGCACGGGUGCGUAACACGUAUACAAUCUACCUUAAACAGGGGGAUAGCCUUUUCGAAAGAGAGAUUAAUACCCCGUAAUAAAUUGAACGGCAUCGUUUGAUUUUGAAAGCUCCGGCGGUUUGAGAUGAGUAUGCGUCUGAUUAGCUAGUUGGUGAGGUAACGGCUCACCAAGGCGACGAUCAGUAGGGGAUCUGAGAGGACUAACCCCCCACACUGGUACUGAGACACGGACCAGACUCCUACGGGAGGCAGCAGUAAGGAAUAUUGGUCAAUGGAGGCAACUCUGAACCAGCCAUGCCGCGUGCAGGAUGACGGCCCUAUGGGUUGUAAACUGGCUUUUAUACAAGAGAAAACCCUGGUACGUGUACCAGGUUGAUAGUAUUGUAAGAAUAAGCA